rnacentral:rRNA from 1 species
GACAGAGGGGGCAAGCGUUGCUCGGAAUCACUGGGCGUAAAGGGCGCGUAGGCGGGAUGGCAAGUCAGUCGUGAAAUCUCUCGGCUCAACCGAGAAACGUCGGCUGAUACUGCCGUUCUUGAGGGAUGCAGAGGAGACUGGAAUUCCCGGUGUAGCGGUGAAAUGUGUAGAGAUCGGGAGGAACACCGGUGGCGAAGGCGGGUCUCUGGGCAUCUCCUGACGCUGAGGCGCGAAAGCGGGGGGAGCAAACGGG